rnacentral:rRNA from 1 species
CCUACGGGGUGCUGCAGUGAGGAAUAUUGGUCAAUGGCCGUAAGCCUGAACCAGCCAAGCCGCGUGAAGGAUGAAGGUUCUAAGCAUCGUAAACUUCUUUUGUCAAGGGAUAAAAUGUGGCUCGAGACCUAGUUUGAGUGUACCUUAUGAAUAAGGAUCGGCUAACUCCGUGCCAGCAGCCGCGGUAAUACGGAGGAUCCGAGCGUUAUCCGGAUUUAUUGGGUUUAAAGGGUGCGUAGGCGGCCUGUUAAGUCAGCGGUAAAAGCCCGGGGCGAAACCACGGCGUGCCGUUGAAACUGGGUGUCUUGAGAUGGCGAGAGGUAGGCGGAAUGCGCGGUGUAGCGGUGAAAUGCUUAGAUAUUGCGCAGAACUCCGAUUGCGAAGGCAGCAUGCC